rnacentral:rRNA from 1 species
UACGUAGGGUGCAAGCGUUAAUCGGAAUUACUGGGCGUAAAGCGUGCGCAGGCGGUGAUGUAAGACAGGUGUGAAAUCCCCGGGCUUAACCUGGGAACUGCAUUUGUGACUGCAUCGCUGGAGUGCGGCAGAGGGGGAUGGAAUUCCGCGUGUAGCAGUGAAAUGCGUAGAUAUGCGGAGGAACACCGAUGGCGAAGGCAUCCCUCG